rnacentral:rRNA from 1 species
GGGUGCUCGAGUGGCGAACGGGUGAGUAACACGUGAGUAACCUGCCCUUGACUUUGGGAUAACUUCAGGAAACUGGGGCUAAUACCGGAUAGGAGCGCCUGCUGCAUGGUGGGGGUUGGAAAGUUUCGGCGGUUGGGGAUGGACUCGCGGCUUAUCAGCUUGUUGGUGGGGUAGUGGCUUACCAAGGCUUUGACGGGUAGCCGGCCUGAGAGGGUGACCGGCCACAUUGGGACUGAGAUACGGCCCAG